rnacentral:rRNA from 1 species
UGUGUAGGCGGAUACCUAAGUACUUUGUGAAAUCCCACGGCUUAACCCGUGGAACUGCUUGGUAUACUGGGUGUCUUGAGCCAACUAGGGGCAGUCGGAACUAACGGUGGAGCGGUGAAAUGCGUAGAUAUCGUUAGGAACGCCAAUGGUGAAAACAGACUGCUGGGGUUGUGCUGACGCUGAGACACGAAAGCCAGGGGAUCAAACGGGAUUAGAUACCCCGGUAGUCCUGGCUGUAAACGAUGUCCACUAGAUCGCAGUGCCUCUGACGGUAUUGCGGUCGAAGCAAAAGUGCUAAGUGGACCGCCUGGGAAGUACGGUCGCAAGGCUAAAACUCAAAGAAAUUGACGGGGGCUCACACAAGCGGUGGAGCAUGUGGUUCAAUUCGAAGCAACGCGCAGAACCUUACCUGGGCUUGACAUGCCAGGAUUAUCCCCAUGAAAGUGGGGUAGGCCUCUUUGAGGUACAACUGGUACAGGUGCUGCAUGGCUGUCGUCAGCUCGUGUCGUGAGAUGUCGGGUUAAGUCCCUUAACGAGCGAAACCUUUGCCCUUAGUUACCAUCGGGUUAUGCCGGGGACUCUAAGGGGACUGCCGGUGUCAAACCGGAGGAAGGUGGAGAUGACGUCAAGUCCUCAUGGCCUUUAUGCCCAGGGCCACACACGUGCUACAAUCCGGUGCACAGAGCGAACCGAGAGCGCAAGCUGGAGGAAAUCGCACAAAUCACCGGCCAGUUCAGAUUGGAGGCUGCAACUCGCCUCCAUGAAGUUGGAAUCGCUAGUAACCGCGGAUCAGCUACGCCGCGGUGAAUGUGUUCCUGAGCCUUGUACACACCGCCCGUCAAGUCAUGGGAGCCGGGAAUGGCCGAAGUCGCCUCACCACUGAGGUGCCUACGCCAGGCUCGGUGACUGGGACU